rnacentral:lncRNA from 1 species
GGGAAACAUGAACAACAGAAUGAUGGUUGAUUUAAAAUCCAUGUUUUUAUGUAGUAGAUUGCUGAUGGGGGAGAUUGUUUUUCAAUUAAUUGUACUAUUGUAUUAUAGCUUUAAUGGAAAGAGUCAGGUUCAGAAAAUAGUUUUAACAUAUUAUCAGAACACAUCCCUUUUUAAAGAGUACAAAACAAAAAAAUUUGAGGUAAUUACAUAUUCAUAUUGACACAACGAUUUGAAUGGUUAAUAAAAUUUUAUUUAAAGUAAUUAUUUAGGGAAAAAAUACACUAAAAAUGUCAUAUAUUCAGAAAAGAAAGGUUACUGUAUCUACAAUUAUCAUUCUACAAUUAUAACUUACGUAUUAUACUGUAUUAAAUUAUUCUACAAUUAUAACUUUUAAGACGACGAACUAAGACUCUUAACAAAAGUCGUGGAACUAACAGGAACACGUGCAUAUAUUAAACGACGCGUCUUGACAACAUUUAUUAUUUAGUUAUCAAAUCAUUUUCGUUUAUCUUAUAAAAUUAAUGUCUUUAAAUAGUAUACAAGUAUUAAUAAAUGAUCAAUUUGCUUUUAUUUUUGAGAAAUCUUAUUCCAACCUGUAGUUGGGGCGCUAGUUGUCUAAAAUGACAUAGUGAUUUAAAAAAAAAAAAACAUUUUUUUUGCUUGCAGUGUUUUGUUUA